rnacentral:rRNA from 1 species
AGAGUUUGAUUAUGGCUCAGGAUUAACGCUGGCGGCGUGCCUAAUACAUGCAAGUCGAAUGGUAGCAAUACCAUGGCGAACGGGUGAGUAACACGUAGGUAACCUGUCUUUAAGCCGAGGAUAACCAUUGGAAACGAUGGAUAAUACUGGAUAGGACAUUUGAAGGCAUCUUUAAAUGUUUAAAGAUUUAUCACUUAGAGAGGGGCCUGCGGCGCAUUAGCUAGUUGGUGAGGUGAAGGCUUACCAAGGCGAUGAUGCGUAGCCGGACUGAGAGGUUGAACGGCCACAAUGGAACUGAGAACGGUCCAUACUCCUACGGGAGGCAGCAGUAGGGAAUUUUCGGCAAUGGGCGGAAGCCUGAACCCGAGCAACGCCGCGUGAACGAAGAAGUAUUUCGGUAUGUAAAGUUCUUUUAUUAGGGACGAAAAGACAGAUUGACGGUACCUAAUGAAUAAGCUCCGGCUAACUACGUGCCAGCAGCUGC